rnacentral:rRNA from 1 species
UACGUAGGUCCCAAGCGUUGUUCGGAAUCACUGGGCGUAAAGGGUGCGUAGGCGGUUUGGUAAGUCAGAUGUGAAAUCCCGGGGCUCAACCCCGGAACUGCAUCCGAUACUGCCAGACUUGAGGACUGGAGAGGUGACUGGAAUUCUCGGUGUAGCAGUGAAAUGCGUGGAUAUCGAGAGGAACACUCGUGGCGUAAGCGAGUCACUGGACAGUAUCUGACGCUGAGGCACGGAAGGCCAAGGGUAGCGAAAGGG